GCAUCAAAGAUAAUAGCGUUUUGGGGGACAUAAUACGUCCAAACCAGCACAAUGCAUAUAAUGCAAUAAUAUGCAUUCAUCAAAAAUUAUUAGAGAAAUACAUUAGAGAAAAAUGUUAAAAACAUGGAAAUGAUUUUAUUAUGUGCAAAAGGAUAGUCAUAAAAUUAGUAUGUAUGUAUGAUUACACUUUUAUUUUUAAAAACGUAAAAAGAGGAUGGAGAAAACAAAAAGGAUAAAACAACACACUAACAAUGGUUAUCCUGAGGUAGUAUUGACUUUUAUUUUCUUCUUCAUCUCAGCUAUAGUUACAAUAAUUUCUAUAAUUAACAUAUUUAUAAAUUUUUAAUCAGAAACAUAAUAUAUACUUUUAAGAACAGUUGGAUCUUGCUUUAAAAUAUGUGUGCUUUAAAAUACUAGUAAGAAUAUACUCCUUCCCCCAAUAUUUGAGAGCCAUGUCACAUAACCCCUUCUUGGAAGAUUUUCCCCACCCAGUCUGUUCAGCAAAUUUGCUUACAAUAGUACCUCAUCAGUGUGGGUCAGAUCUUGCCCUCAGCUCCAGCUAGUUAGAUUAGGGGUGGAAUUGACCCUAGUUAAGCCAAUAAAUCAUCUCCAUAAAUUUGGAAUUGGGACUCAGAGAAUCUAAUUUCUGUUGAUUUCUUAGACUGGGAGCCAAGUAGGGCUGGAAUGGCCAUUUCCCAUCACAUGCAUAGAAAACCAGAAAAAUUAACAUCCUAUAUAAAGAGAAAAAAUACAGAGAUGCAAGCAGACUAGAGACCAUAUGACAUCAAAGAAUGACAAAAAGUUUAGUAAAAGCUACAUUGUGCACUAAUUCAUUUCUGUGAAUGUGGAUUCUUUGGGGGAAUCCUGAAGAGGGAGCUGACUUCUAUGACUGGAUUGAUGCAAGGCAAACAUGUACGUGGAAGCUGGAGUUGAAGACAGAGGAGAUCCUGAGAGCAGAAUUAAAAAUUCCUGUAGACCUUCAAACUUCCAACACUGUGGAAUGAUGGGUCCCAGAUGAGCUCCCCAAGACAGCAACAAGUGGUGCCCAACGUGGGGCCGGAAUCUCAAAGUAGCUGGUCCAUUCCAUUCCGGGGAAGGCUCAUUUAAUUGACUAAGGUGUGUGAUAUCAGCGCAGGAACUCGGGUGGAGCAGAGUCCUCACUACUUCUCUAGGUGAAGAUCAAGCUCCUAUUUAGAUGCCCACAUGACACUUGAAACUGUACCAUGAGUGGGAAAAAGAGAAAGUUCAUGUGGGACCUAGAACCUCUGAUGAUGCAGAUGGAGGGCCUCUUGCUGAAAAAAACUCACAUCGGACCAAUGCCAGCCACCACUGAGGCUUCUCCUCCUAUAUAGGGACAAAGUAUAAUUCUACUUUGGCCUUCUUACAUUUACCACUAUGUUGGGACACGGGAAAAAAAAAUGUUUGUCUUUGGGCAACAAGCAUGGCUUUCAAUAAUUCCAAAGCAUGGAAAUGUCUCUCAUUCUAUGUUAUAUUUGUUGACAGGUCAGACUUUUGCAUACCAAGUAAUAGUAGGAUAAAUGAUGGAACUCCACAGCAUCCUGUCUGUCAAGCGCCCAAAGUAUUGGUCUCCAGACCUUAAUGAGAAUACAUUGGGAAACUUGUUGAGGGGCUAAUGGUGUGCUACUGCUUAAUGGUUCCUAUGGAAUUGUAACUGACUGGUCCCCUAAGGGGUUUGCAGUGCAGAACUGCAGUGGCCGAAAUGAGUCCUGCUCGGCACAUGAACAAUUAAGAUGGAAAAUUCGUACACAUAAUUUGGCAUCCCUUCUAAGUGAUACUGAUAGUAUGCAAACAGAAGCCAGAAAACCUAUAACAUGGCAUGGUAUGGGAAUGGUCCCACCAUGGCCUUUUAAAAAUAAUUUUGCCCCUCAAACAUCUAUUUGGAAAAUUCCAAUCACUCUACAGUAUAUUAAAAUAUGGAAUGGAACAUAUUCCCAUAAAAAUAAUUACACUUUAAACUUGAAUUAAAGUUCAAACACUUUAGUGUGCAGGCUUGUGUUAGAGACCCAUAUGUAUUUUGGAUAGGUAAUCUCUCUCUUAACAUAAGUUCUAAGGAGGUUUCUUGUAAUGCUAAUGCCACUUGUGCUUUAUAUUCUUGUGCAAAUAGAACCUUAAGUAACAGCAAUCUUACCUUAAUUGUCUUACAAAGACCAACGGGCCUCUGGAUCCCAGUAACUCAGGAAAGGCCCUAAAAAUCCUCUCCUGAUAUGCAUCUACUAUUAACAUUAUUAAAUAAAGUGUUACAUAAAGUAAAAAUAUUUCUAGGUAUAUUAAUUGCAUUUAUUAUAGGUUUAAUAGCAAUAACCACUGCUGCUGCUGUAGCUGGCACUGAGCUUCAUCAAUCAGUACAGAUGGCACACUUUGUAUAAACAUAGCAUGAGAAUGCUAGUUAAAGCUUGGGGAGAACAGCUGAGAAUUGAUAAGGAAGUUAACCAGCAUUUGGUUAACUUAGAAAAUGCUGUUCUCUUACUUGGAGAAGAAAUAGAAGAUCUAAGGCAUAGAAUACAAUUAACAUGUGAUUGAAAUAUACCUACCUUUUGCAAAACUCCACAUGAAUACAAUUCUUCAGCAGUAAGCUGGGAUAAAAUUAAAAAAAACAUUUAAUGGAACAUCAUAAAGUUUAUCUAUUGAUAUUUCCCAGUUACAAGCUGAUGUUCAUGCAAUUCAACAAGCAAAUCUCCAAGUUUUAUUCUCAUCUAAAAUCUUUCAGAGCAUUGCUGAUGAAAUACAACAGCUAAAUCCUUUACCAUGGGUUAAAAGCUUAAGUCGUGAAAUGUUAGGAAGUGUCUUUAUAAUAUUAAUUUGUCUUUUAUGUUUAUGUCUAGUCCUCCAAUGCACGAGACAAGCAGUCUCUGGUUUAACUGAGAAAUCUACAAUUCCAGCCAUAAUGUCUGCAAUAAAAAUAAAAACAAAAAGGGGGACAUGUGGAAAACAGAGCCUGAAGUUUCUCCUCUCCUUCCUGCAUACUUGAGGUGGUGGCCUGGAACAGUGGGCCCCUGCUGAAAAUAGAACACUAUCAAGGCAUGCCUUGUUAAAGUAGGCGUGGACGUGAGAAUGCAGCUGGGGAACUGUUUUUCUGUUAUUGUCCUUGAGAAUAAGAUAAGACCCAUUUUGCCGACAUGAUGUAAACCACCUUGAGGAAAAUGUCUAUGUGCACAUUAAAGCAUUUCUCUAUCCUAAAAGCAUAAUAAAUAGGGUCUUGGAACGGGACAGACACACUCGCCAGACAGGCGGGUGUGUCCCCUGCUCCCAGUCUCCAGAAAUAUUUUUGUCUUGAUCUUAAUUUCUGCAUUGCCCCUGGCAACAAAGAAAGCUACAAGUGUUGGAGAGGUUGUGGAGAAAUAGGAACACUCAUUCAUUGCUGGUGGGAAUGAAAAUGGUGGCAGCUGCUAGUGGAAGGACACUUUUGUGCUUCCUCAGGAAGCUAAAUAUAGAAUUUCCGUAUGACCCCACCAUCCCACUGCUGAGUGUAUACCCAGAAGAAUUGAAAGCAGGGACUUGAACAGAUAUUUGAACACUGAUGUUCAUAGCAGUAUUGUUCACAGUUUCCAAGGGAUGGAGGCAACCCAGGUGUCCAUCAGCUGAUGAAUGGAUGAAAAAAUGUGAUGUAUGCAUACUAUGGAAUAUUUUCAGUUAUAAAAAGGAAUGAAGUCCUGAUGCAUGCAACAACAUGGAUGAACCAUGAUGACAUUAUGAUGAGUGAAAUAGUCCAGAUACAAAAGGACAAAUAUUGUAUGAUUUCCUGAUAUGAACUAAUUAUAAUAAGCAAAUUCAUAGAAUUAGACUUUAAAAUACCAAUAACUAGAGGAUAGACUGAGUAUAAGGAAUGUGGAGCUGACGCUUAAUUUGUACAGAAUUUCUAUUUAUGUUGAUUGUAAAGGUUUGGAAAUCGAUGAUGGUGAUGGUAGCACAUUAUUGUGAGUGUAAUUAACAGCUCUGAGCUAUGUAUGUGAAUGUGGUUGAA